UGGGGAAUAUUGGACAAUGGGCGAAAGCCUGACCCAGCCAUGCCGCGUGUGUGAAGAAGGUCUUCGGAUUGUAAAGCACUUUAAGUUGGGAGGAAGGGCAGUAAGCGAAUACCUUGCUGUUUUGACGUUACCGACAGAAUAAGCACCGGCUAACUCUGUGCCAGCAGCCGCGGUAAUACAGAGGGUGCAAGCGUUAAUCGGAAUUACUGGGCGUAAAGCGCGCGUAGGUGGUUCGUUAAGUUGAAUGUGAAAGCCCCGGGCUCAACCUGGGAACUGCAUCCAAAACUGGCGAGCUAGAGUAGGGCAGAGGGUGGUGGAAUUUCCUGUGUAGCGGUGAAAUGCGUAGAUAUAGGAAGGAACACCAGUGGCGAAGGCGACCACCUUGGCUCAUACUGACACUGGGGUGCGAAAGGGGGGGGAGCAAACAGG
rnacentral:rRNA from 1 species